CCUGCGAACGUUAUAUAGAGUUUGACGAGCGCUCAGAUGAUCAAGCUUGCUGUCUCUGAUGUUAGCGGCGGACGGGUGAGUAACACGUGGGUAACCUACCUAUAAGACUGGGAUAACUCCGGGAAACCGGGGCUAAUACCGGAUAAUAUUUUGAACCGCAUGGUUCAAUAGUGAAAGACGGUUUCGGCUGUCACUUAUAGAUGGACCCGCGCCGUAUUAGCUAGUUGGUAAGGUAACGGCUUACCAAGGCGACGAUACGUAGCCGACCUGAGAGGGUGAUCGGCCACACUGGAACUGAGACACGGUCCAGACUCCUACGGGAGGCAGCAGUAGGGAAUCUUCCGCAAUGGGCGAAAGCCUGACGGAGCAACGCCGCGUGAGUGAUGAAGGUCUUCGGAUCGUAAAACUCUGUUGUUAGGGAAGAACAAAUUUGUUAGUAACUGAACAAGUCUUGACGGUACCUAACCAGAAAGCCACGGCUAACUACGUGCCAGCAGCCGCGGUAAUACGUAGGUGGCAAGCGUUAUCCGGAAUUAUUGGGCGUAAAGCGCGCGUAGGCGGUUUCUUAAGUCUGAUGUGAAAGCCCACGGCUCAACCGUGGAGGGUCAUUGGAAACUGGGAAACUUGAGUGCAGAAGAGGAGAGUGGAAUUCCAUGUGUAGCGGUGAAAUGCGCAGAGAUAUGGAGGAACACCAGUGGCGAAGGCGGCUCUCUGGUCUGUAACUGACGCUGAUGUGCGAAAGCGUGGGGAUCAAACAGGAUUAGAUACCCUGGUAGUCCACGCCGUAAACGAUGAGUGCUAAGUGUUAGGGGGUUUCCGCCCCUUAGUGCUGCAGCUAACGCAUUAAGCACUCCGCCUGGGGAGUACGACCGCAAGGUUGAAACUCAAAGGAAUUGACGGGGACCCGCACAAGCGGUGGAGCAUGUGGUUUAAUUCGAAGCAACGCGAAGAACCUUACCAAAUCUUGACAUCCUUUGACCGCUCUAGAGAUAGAGUCUUCCCCUUCGGGGGACAAAGUGACAGGUGGUGCAUGGUUGUCGUCAGCUCGUGUCGUGAGAUGUUGGGUUAAGUCCCGCAACGAGCGCAACCCUUAAGCUUAGUUGCCAUCAUUAAGUUGGGCACUCUAGGUUGACUGCCGGUGACAAACCGGAGGAAGGUGGGGAUGACGUCAAAUCAUCAUGCCCCUUAUGAUUUGGGCUACACACGUGCUACAAUGGAUAAUACAAAGGGCAGCGAAUCCGCGAGGCCAAGCAAAUCCCAUAAAAUUAUUCUCAGUUCGGAUUGUAGUCUGCAACUCGACUACAUGAAGCUGGAAUCGCUAGUAAUCGUAGAUCAGCAUGCUACGGUGAAUACGUUCCCGGGUCUUGUACACACCGCCCGUCACACCACGAGAGUUUGUAACACCCGAAGCCGGUGGAGUAACUCGUAAG
rnacentral:rRNA from 2 species